rnacentral:tRNA from 1 species
UCCUCCUUAGCUCAGUNUAGCUCAGUCGGUAGAGCGACGGACUGUUAAUCCGCAGGUCGCUGGUUCAAGUCCAGCAGGAGGAGCCA